ensembl:lncRNA novel transcript
AAUGGAGGGGAGGUCGACGCCUUGGAGAUGGAAACGAUUUAAACAUACUUGUAGCAAAUCCUUCAUGGUGGAGCAGGAAUAGGAAGCGUUUGACUUACUUUGGCCAGUGCAUAUGAGCAAACAUGAUGUUCAGCAAGUCUCAGCAGAUGCUUGAAGAGUCAUUGUCUGUUUCUACCAACUCUCUUGCUCUUUUCUGUUGCCAAAAGAGAAAGGACAAAAGAAACUGCCUAUUCAGCUAUACCCUGAGCUUCUCUGGACAAAGGCUGAGUCUUACCUACUUUUCUAUCCCCAUUGUUUGGCUGAAGGCUUGUUCCACAGUGUGAGGAAAGUUCAAGAGGGGAAAAAAUAAAAGACUAGUGACAUAAUUUAAGAAAAGGAUGAUUGCAAUGCAUCCUGAAGCUGCCUAUCUCCAAAUAUUCUCUCCUAUAGGCAGGGCCAACAG